GAUGAACGCUGGCGGCGUGCCUAAUACAUGCAAGUCGAGCGAACGGACGAGAAGCUUGCUUCUCUGAUGUUAGCGGCGGACGGGUGAGUAACACGUGGAUAACCUACCUAUAAGACUGGGAUAACUUCGGGAAACCGUAGCUAAUACCGGAUAAUAUUUUGAACCGCAUGGUUCAAAAGUGAAAGACGGUCUUGCUGUCACUUAUAGAUGGAUCCGCGCUGCAUUAGCUAGUUGGUAAGGUAACGGCUUACCAAGGCAACGAUGCAUAGCCGACCUGAGAGGGUGAUCUGCCACACUGGAACUGAGACACGGUCCAGACUCCUACGGGAGGCAGCAGUAGGGAAUCUUCCGCAAUGGGCGAAAGCCUGACGGAGCAACGCCGCGUGAGUGAUGAAGGUCUUCGGAUCGUAAAACUCUGUUAUUAGGGAAGAACAUAUGUGUAAGUAACUGUGCACAUCUUGACGGUACCUAAUCAGAAAGCCACGGCUAACUACGUG
rnacentral:rRNA from 1 species